rnacentral:rRNA from 1 species
UACGGGGGGAGCAAGCGUUGUCCGGAUUUAUUGGGCGUAAAGAGCGUGUAGGCGGCCGCACAGGUCCGUUGUGAAAACUGGAGGCUCAACCUUCAGACGUCGAUGGAAACCGUGCGGCUAGAGUCCGGAAGAGGAGAGUGGAAUUCCUGGUGUAGCGGUGAAAUGCGCAGAUAUCAGGAAGAACACCCGUGGCGAAGGCGGCUCUCUGGGACGGUACUGACGCUGAGACGCGAAAGCGUGGGGAGCGAACAGG